UAAUUAGUAACAAAGUUAACAAAUUGACAAAUCAAAUCAGAUAAACAAUCAAACAAACAAACCGUAACAUAGUAAGCGCAAUGAAAUUAAGUUAAAUUGAUAACAUAAGCAACUAAAAAUUAACACUUAGAAAAGGGGAGAGACAAAAUAGAAUACCGCCCCCCCCAGAUCAUAUAUGCCUCGGUCAUGUCCAGAGACAGUUCCAGGCCUCCAGCCGAGAUGGGACUGUGUUUGCUGCCACUGAGACCAGGUUGGGGCCUUUGGGACUUCCUUGAUGCAGAUCUUGUACAUCACCACUGCCGGACCCAUCGUAGUUACUGUGCUCUCCUUUAGCUGGUUCCGAACUCUUCAUCCACAUUGGGACCAGGGUGUGAUGACCAGCUUGCUGUUAUCAGCGUGGGAGCCUGUAGUCCUGAGUUUCGAGGAGCAAAGCACAGCACAGAACGGAGGGUGGAAACAAGCGGCAAGCAGAAGGCUCCAGGAAGUGGGAAACCUCAGCAAGCCCCACUCCAGAAAGUGGGGAAGCCCCAGCAAGAGAGACACCAGGAGGCUCCAGUGGAAGCAACAGCCAGGCAGCUUUGCUGAUUUUCUGCAUGGCAGGACAGACAUAUUAGAUGAACCGUAUUUCAUUCAUCCAAAGUAAGCAAUUCAGCUAUAGGAGAAAUAACAUACAGACACAACCGAGAUGGACCUCAACAUGAACCUAGAUGUGCUUCCUGUAAUAUGACUUUUGCUUUUCAAAUCUGAAAUGAAGAAAUGCUUUUCUUCACUUCAACAUUCCCUUAUGGUAUUGCUAUGAUGAGUAAUAUUAGAUAAACAGUGGUGGUUAAACAUUUGCACAGCCUACUUUUGUGUGUCUGAUAUGACAAUGUUUAUUUGUAUUUAUUUAUUUAUCUAAAAUAUUUUUACCCUGCCUUUCUCUUUAAAAAGGAUCCGAGGCGGCCUACAUAAUUGAAAGACAACAUUUAUGUUCCCUCCAGAGCCCUCACAUCAUAUUUGGUACCUACAGAAAAUGACGAACCAUUGACAUUCCCUG
rnacentral:lncRNA from 1 species